rnacentral:RNase_P_RNA from 1 species
AAGGCGAAUUGGGCAAUCGCGGUGCUUAAUCGCAUCGAGGAAGGUCCGGACUCCGUAGAGCGGGAUAACGGUUAACGACCGUCCGAGUGUGGGUGGAUGCGAAUCCACUCACGCUUGAGGACUAGGGCCACAGAGACGAGUCUGCAAGGGGGGUGCGCUGAAAGGCGUACUCUUCCACGGUGUUCCCGUGGUGCACGAGGCGCUUGCGCCUUGAAUUUUGCAGGGUGAAACGCGGCAACCUCUAUCCGGAGCAACACCAAAUAGGCAUACGUGUGGCCUUGUGUCACGUUGGGCGGCUCGCCCGAGUAUGCGGGUAGGUGGCUAGAGCACUUCAGCAAUGAUUUGCCCAGAGGAAUGAUUGCCAGCCCACGCAAGUGGGUUUACAGAAUCCGGCCUAUAGAUUCGCCUUGCAC